rnacentral:rRNA from 1 species
AAAACAUGUCCUUUAGAAUUUAAUUUAAGGUCUGACCUGCCCACUGAAUUAAAUGGCCGCAGUAUUUUAACUGUGCAAAGGUAGCAUAAUCAUUAGUCUUUUAAUUGAAGGCUUGUAUGAAUGGUUGGACGAAAUAUUAACUGUUUCAUAAGAAUUGAUUUAGAAUUUUAUUUUUUAGUUAAAAAGCUAAAAUUUUUUUAAAAGACGAGAAGACCCUAUAGAUCUUUAUAGUUUAUUUAUUAUAGUUAUUUAGAUAAUUUAAAUUAUAAUUGUGUAAAUUAUUUUGUUGGGGUGACAUUAAAAUUUAAUUAACUUUUAAUUUGUUUUUACAUUGAUUUAUGAUUUAUUGAUCCAUUAUUAAUGAUUAUAAAAUUAAGUUACCUUAGGGAUAACAGCGUAAUUUUUUUGAAGAGUUCAUAUCGAUAAAAAAGAUUGCGACCUCGAUGUUGGAUUAAGAUAUAAUUUUGGGUGCAGCAAUUCAAUUAUUAAGUCUGUUCGACUUUUGAUUUCUUACAUGA